rnacentral:rRNA from 1 species
CAGUCGCCGCGGUAAUACGUAGGGUGCAAGCGUUAAUCGGAAUUACUGGGCGUAAAGCGUGCGUAGGCGGUGAGUUAAGUCUGCUGUGAAAUCCCCGGGCUCAACCUGGGAAUGGCAGUGGAUACUGGCUCGCUAGAGUGUGUCAGAGGAUGGUGGAAUUCCCGGUGUAGCGGUGAAAUGCGUAGAGAUCGGGAGGAACAUCAGUGGCGAAGGCGGCCAUCUGGGACAACACUGACGCUGAGGCACGAAAGCGUGGGGAGCAAACAGGAUUAGAUACCCGCGUAGUCCCUGUCUCUUAUAU